GCCCAGAUUAGUCGCCUAGAAUAUCCUUGGUUCUAUGAGGGAAAACAUACAUUCAGUCAAAAGGCAUUUUCCUUAAGUUAUCAAUUAGACUAAAGAAAGUGGGGAACAUACAGUGUCGAGCAUGGGUGUCAAAAACACUUUGGUGCCCUGUCACGGAAGGAGCCACAAAGAUAUAAUUUCAGAGGAGAAUUCUCUACAACAGCUCAAAUGGAAAGUAGAACACAAGAUCAGAGUACAGGCAGUUAUGGAUAUUACAUGGAAACAGCUCUUUGCUCAUUAA